rnacentral:rRNA from 1 species
GCAAGUCGAACGAGCGAGAGAGAGCUUGCUUUCUCAAGCGAGUGGCGAACGGGUGAGUAACGCGUGAGGAACCUGCCUCAAAGAGGGGGACAACAGUUGGAAACGACUGCUAAUACCGCAUAAGCCCACGACCCGGCAUCGGGUAGAGGGAAAAGGAGCAAUCCGCUUUGAGAUGGCCUCGCGUCCGAUUAGCUGGUUGGUGAGGUAACGGCCCACCAAGGCGACGAUCGGUAGCCGGACUGAGAGGUUGAACGGCCACAUUGGGACUGAGACACGGCCCAGACUCCUACGGGAGGCAGCAGUGGGGAAUAUUGCACAAUGGGGGAAACCCUGAUGCAGCGACGCCGCGUGGAGGAAGAAGGUCCUCGGAUUGUAAACUCCUGUUGUUGAGGAAGAUAAUGACGGUACUCAACAAGGAAGUGACGGCUAACUACGUGCCAGCAGCCGCGGUAAAACGUAGGUCACAAGCGUUGUCCGGAAUUACUGGGUGUAAAGGGAGCGCAGGCGGGAAGGCAAGUUGGAAGUGAAAUCCAUGGGCUCAACCCAUGAACUGCUUUCAAAACUGUUUUUCUUGAGUAGUGUAGAGGUAGGCGGAAUUCCCGGUGUAGCGGUGGAAUGCGUAGAUAUCGGGAGGAACACCAGUGGCGAAGGCG